rnacentral:rRNA from 1 species
UACAGAGGGUGCAAGCGUUAAUCGGAAUUACUGGGCGUAAAGCGCGCGUAGGCGGUUAUUUAAGUCGGGUGUGAAAGCCCCGGGCUCAACCUGGGAAUUGCAUCCGAUACUGAGUAACUAGAGUAUGAGAGAGGGAGGUAGAAUUCCACGUGUAGCGGUGAAAUGUGUAGAGAUCGGGAGGAACACCGGUGGCGAAGGCGGGUCUCUGGGCAUCUCCUGACGCUGAGGCGCGAAAGCGUGGGGAGCAAACGGG